GCGGGAGCGGGGCGGCCUCUGCCUCCGUCCCGCUCCGUUCCGGCGGGUGAAGGGAGGGUCUCUGGUACCCUGGUGCCGGCCGAGGAGGGCCCCCGUGCGGCGCUGGCCGCCGGCUGCGUUCCCCAGCUGCUCCUUCCCCCGCCAUGUUGCAGCGAAGCUGCUUCAGGGCUGGCCCCGAUGGCGGCUUUUGGGCGGCCGCUUCGGUUUCUGUGCCUCGGCCCCGUCGCUGAGCAAGGGAAGGCUGCGGCGUGAGGGGACAUGGCUGCGGACCGUCAGGCCCCACUCUGUGGGGGGAGGAGGAGGAAGAGGAAGGCGUGACUGGAGACCGGCAGGAGACAGGGUGAAGUGGAAAAGAUUGGAUAAUGUCUUGAAAAAUCGAGGAGAGAGCCGUGUGACGUGGCAGACCCAGGAGCCCCUCUAAGACCUGAGGUGAGCAGCAGCAGAUGCGAGUUCCCCUGUUGAAUAGCUCCCUGCCCCAGCUCGUGUUGCAGAUGUGGCUGUAGUGCCAUGUUUGUGUCAUUAGGUGGCAGAGAGGAAAAGGCUGUGUCUUUGCUGGUGCUCUGAGACCUGUGAGCACUCAGGAACGAUGAGCAACCUGACAAUUAUUUCUUGAUUCCCCCUUUUCUUUGUUAAACUGUGAAGGACGGGCAGCUGUAGGGGGACAGGGUAGAGAAGUGUGGCAGACAGUCAUUCUCUUAGUGAAUGCCUCGUUUAUGUGACAGAGAAUUAACGGAAGACAGAGCAAAACUUCUUUGAAAAGCAGUUAAAAUUGUGCCAAUUUUAACUGUAUCAAGGGAAGUUACUUUUGAAAACAGGGCUGGGCUCUGGAACUUGCUUCAAAUGUUGAAGAUCAUGCCUCGAGUUUAAGAAUCUGUAGCAAAAGAAAUGGUGAGCAGUGCCCGCAGUGGAAGAUUCCUAAGAGUUCAUCUUUCCUCACACGUGGGUUCGAAGGCGCUACAGCCAGUGAACGUGCGUGCGAUGCUGCUCGUGGCGCUGAAUGUUUGCUGCAACCUGUGUACGCAAAUGUCAGUUUAAAAAAAAAAAGUUAGUUGUGCUCCAAGUGUCCUUUCUGCUUUGGCUGGGCUGAGCCGCCAGAGUUGUAAUCUUGCCCUUCUCCCGGUCAUCUCGGCUCAUACACUGUCUUCACAGCCAAUAUUCUAAAGCACUGCUGUUUCAAUCCAUACUUUCUCUGCCUGGUUGAGAAGGAUUUAAAAAAAACCAAACCCCAAAACUAAAUAAAGAUGCCACCUCGAAUAAGUCUGAAA